rnacentral:rRNA from 1 species
GAUGAACGCUAGCUACAGGCUUAACACAUGCAAGUCGAGGGACCGGCGCUCGGGUGAGUAACACGUAUCCAACCUGCCCUUUACUCGGGGAUAGCCUUUCGAAAGAAAGAUUAAUACCCGAUAUAAAGGAUGGGGAUGCGUUCCAUUAGGUUGUUGGUGAGGUAACGGCCAACCAAGCCUUCGAUGGAUAGGGGUUCUGAGAGGAAGUUCCCCCACAUUGGAACGGAGACACGGUCUAAACCCCUACGGGAGGCAUCAGUUAGGAAUAUUGGUCAAUGGGCGUUAGCCUGAACCAGCCAAUGAGUGUGAAGGAUGAAGGCUUAUGGGUCGUAAACUACUUUUAUAUAAGAAUGUGAGUUUGAUGAAUAAGGAUUGGCUAACUCCGUGCCAGCAGCCGCGGUAAUUC